GACCAGGUGGCUCAAUUGGUAGAGCGUCUGUCUAGAGUUCGGAGGGUCCCGGGUUCGAACCCCGGUCCGGUCG
rnacentral:tRNA from 1 species